CCUGCUAAGCGCCUAGUUUUCCUGUGAAAAUUUAAGAAUUGUACUGUGCCCCCGCUUUCAAAGCCACUCAGUGAAGGCUGAGGAUUUCUCGAUGUUUCUAACAGGAAGGAAGUCCUGGAGGAUAAAGUAAGAAGAUAAUAGGAUAAUGGAGGAUAAUGCUGUACCAGGAACUAACAAUCCAUCGGGGGAAACAUGGCCCCAAACAGCAUUCAAGUCCAUACCCUUCUGCUUUAUUCUUAAGGGCAGAAAAUACUGAUGCAGCAACAGCAAUCUAAGACCAGUAGGCAAAUGGAGAGGGAAGGAAAGGAUGCAAGAGUAAAUCUAAGUUUCCAUCUCCGGAAGAAAUAGACCCCAACCUGAAAACACCAAAUUCUGCCGCUAAAAAGGAGGCGUCUUUGGAAGAAAUAGGGAGUCCCGCCCUCACCCUAUCCCAGUCUUGUCCUCUCUCCCUCUCUAGACCCAAACAGGAAAAACUAAACAUCACUGGCGACUUUGCACUCGGGAGAAGUCUUUGCUCGCGCCCACUGGGCAGGUUUCCGAGCGGGUCUCUCCUAUCUGCAGGCACCGCGCGCCUUCGCUUAACCCCUUCCUGUCCGACCGGCGCCAUAGCCACCCCCGCCCCGAAACCGCCUCCGCGGACGGUGCCCACCCACACAGCAGUCCCAGACGUCCGUCCGUCGGCUCCUGAGGCUAAUU
ensembl:lncRNA